ACGUCAAGUCAGCACGGCCCUUACGUCUUGGGCCACUCGCACGCUACAAUGGUCGGUACAAUAGGUUGCCAAGGAGCGAUCCGGAGCUAAUCCCCAAAGCCGACCUCAGUUCAGAUUGCAGGCUGAAACCCGCCUGCAUGAAGGCGGAGUUGCUAGUAAACGCCGGUCAGCACACGGCGUUGAAUACGUUCCCGGGCCUU
rnacentral:rRNA from 1 species